rnacentral:rRNA from 1 species
UGAGCAAUCUGCCCUUCUCUUCGGAAUAAGCGUUGGAAACGACGUCUAAUGCCGAAUACAACCUCCUUUCGCAUGAUCGGAGGUGGAAAGCUCCGGCGGAGAAGGAUGAGCUCGCGGCCUAUCAGCUAGUUGGUGUGGGUAACGGCCCACCAAGGCGACGACGGGUAGCUGGU